UACGUAGGGGGCGAGCGUUGUCCGGAUUUAUUGGGCGUAAAAGGCUUGUAGGUGGCCACGUCAAGUCGGAUGUGAAAUCUCCCGGCUCAACUGGGAGGGGUCAUUCGAUACUGGCGGGCUCGAGGCCGGUAGGGGGAAGCGGAAUUCCCGGUGUAGUGGUGGAAUGCGUAGAUAUCGGGAGGAAUACCAGUGGCGAAGGCGGCGACCUGGGCCAAUACUGACGCUGAGGUGCGAAAGCGUGGGGAGCAAACAGG
rnacentral:rRNA from 1 species